GAGCCUCUCGAAAUUCUCGUGUGUUGACUAUGUCCCCGAGCCGAUAAGUUUUACCUCAGGAAUUUCAGCUUUUGCUAUUGAGCAUGCUCGACUUGUAUCGAGAAGCCUACGGUGGAAGCGCAAGUUCCGCCUUGAACCACGGUGUUCAAGGGCUAACGUUAACUGCGGUAUUUUGGGAGUGCUC
rnacentral:other from 1 species